CUGGGGACACUGAGUGAAGGCUGUAAUUGCAAAGAUGUUUUCACAUGGGUGAAUUGGAAGCCCUAUGGAUGAAAAGCAAACGACGGAAUAGGGCCCUGGAUUGCUUGGCUGAAUGGAAGGGAAAAUGAAACAAGCUGAAGACUAUAGGAUGUCAACUGUGGAUACAACUCACAAGCUACCAUAUUGAUGUGACAUGAUGAAGUGGGAAGGAAAGCCAUCUGGAGUUUCACUGGUGAAUUGAUACAUCUUGCACUUAACAUUGUGUAUCCCCUGGACUUUGAUCAAAUGGACAUGGGCUUUCUGAUCUACUGCAGAGUGCCUGGAAAUUCAGGCUCCUAGGAGAAAGGAACUUGCAUUAUCUCAGGUGAGACUUUGGACUUGGACUUUUGGAUUAAUGCUGGAGUGAUAUAAGACUUUGGGGGACUGUUGGGAAGGCCUGAUUGUGUUUUGAAAUGUGAGAACAUGAGAUUUGAGAGGGUCCAGGGGUGGAAUGAUAUGGUUUGGCUGUGACCCCACCCAAAUCUCAUCUUGAAUUGUAAUCCCGAUAAUCCCACCUGUUGAGAAGGGGCCUGGUAAAUGAUGAGAUCAUGGAGGCGUUUUCCCCCAUGCUGUUCUCAUGAUAGUGAGUUCUCAGGAGAUCUGAUGGUUUUAUAAAUGGCAGUUUCCCCUAAGCUUUUCUCUCUCUUCUGCUGCCUUGUGAAGAGGUACUUGCUUCUCCUUCACCUUCUAUCAUGAUUGUAAGUUUCCUGAGGCCUCCCCAGCCAUGUGGAACUGUGAGUCAAUUAAAC
rnacentral:lncRNA from 1 species